UUCCUGCCUUGCUGAAAGUUAGCUAAAGGCUGCAGAGAAGCAGCUUGGGUUUCCAGACAAAAGCCCAAUCCUCUGUCAGAAAGGAGACACUUUCCAAACCGGGARGAGCAUUUAUCACGGGGAACCUGUUUUUCUGCCCGGUCCCUGUCUCACACCCGGCUGCCUUUGCAACAAUGGGGAGACUCGCUCACUUUCUGUCAGGAAUGUGAGUUUUGGAGGGGUUUUUGUUCUCGUCUGUAGUUAAACAACAAAGAUUGAACGUGUCGAGCACACCUCCAUCAGAGUAUGGAUGUUCAAACAGUGUGAGGGGCCAGAGUUUCACUCGGGGCUCGUGUGUCAUCUGACCUCGUUUUAAGGUGGACCCGGGAGGCUGCGGGGAAGGCAGAGGUGUACCUUUCACUGCAACCUUUUCUUUGCUUCCUGUGAAAAUGACAGGAUGAAGGAGCGCUCACAAAGAGAGAGUAAGACGUCUGGCCUGGAACCCAUCAGCAAGAAGAUGAAAGAGGAGCACCAGUGAAGUCACGUAGCAAAAAUGUAACACGGAGAUAUACACAAUGGCUUCACCUCGAGUGAAAGUUUGAUCCCAGAAGCUACAGCUCACAAAGAUGAGCAAAGAAUAAAAGAAAAAUAUGAAACAUAUUGGUGUCACGGGUACUGCAUUUAAAAAAAUGCAUUUGGUUUACAACUGUAAUCUGAAGUGAUUAUUGUACCAAAAUAAAGGUAAGAUGUUUACAUCGUG